rnacentral:piRNA from 1 species
UGCAAUUGCAAACGGUGGCCUGUGGU